rnacentral:rRNA from 1 species
GACGAACGCUGGCGGCGUGCUCAACACAUACAAGUCGAACGGAAAGGCCCUGCUUUUGUGGGGCGCUCGAGUGGCGAACGGGUGAGUAACACGUGAGUAACCUGCCCUUGACUUUGGGAUAACUUCAGGAAACUGGGGCUAAUACCGGAUAGGAGCUCCUGCUGCAUGGUGGGGGUUGGAAAGUUUCGGCGGUUGGGGAUGGACUCGCGGCUUAUCAGCUUGUUGGUGGGGUAGUGGCUUACCAAGGCUUUGACGGGUAGCCGGCCUGAGAGGGUGACCGGCCACAUUGGGACUGAGAUACGGCCCAGACUCCUACGGGAGGCAGCAGUGGGGAAUAUUGCACAAUGGGCGGAAGCCUGAUGCAGCAACGCCGCGUGCGGGAUGACGGCCUUCGGGUUGUAAACCGCUUUCGCCUGUGACGAAGCGUGAGUGACGGUAAUGGGUAAAGAAGCACCGGCUAACUACGUG